GACGAACGCUGGCGGCGUGCUUAACACAUGCAAGUCGAACGGAAAGGCCCUGCUUUUGUGGGGUGCUCGAGUGGCGCACGGGUGCGUAACACGUGAGUAACCUGCCCUUGCCUUUGGGAUAACUUCAGGAAACUGGGGCUAAUACCGGAUAGGAGCUCCUGCUGCAUGGUGGGGGUUGGAAAGUUUCGGCGGUUGGGGAUGGACUCGCGGCUUAUCAGCUUGUUGGUGUGGUAGUGGCUUACCAAGGCUGUGACGGGUAGCCGGCCUGAGAGGGUGACCGGCCACAUUGGGACUGAGAUACGGCCCAGACUCCUACGGGAGGCAGCAGUGGCGAAUAUUGCACAAUGGGCGGAAGCCUGAUGCAGCAACGCCGCGUGCGGGAUGACGGCCUUCGGGUUGUAAACCGCUUUCGCCUGUGACGAAGCGUGAGUGACGGUAAUGGGUAAAGAAGCACCGGCUAACUACGUG
rnacentral:rRNA from 1 species